rnacentral:lncRNA from 1 species
GAAGCUCGUUGCUCUUCAGAGACUUUUUCUUUGAGCCCAAUCCAUCUCCCUAUGCCUCCAUCUUUAAUAAACUAUUUUUGAAGAAAGUUUGUAUUUCGACUCACAAUCAUAUUGUGAUCUUUCAGGAUAUAGAAAUAAUAUCCUAAAGACUCUUUAGGAUAUCCUAUAAACCAAGCUUUGAGGGACCUAGUUUUUAACUUGUCCGUCUGUUAUCGUUUGACAUAGAUUGAAAAUCUUAAAUCUUGAUGUGACUC